UCUAUUGUGGCAGAAUCAAUUGCAAGAAAUUUAAGAUUUCUAUAUAAAUAAAAUUAUUUCUUUAGAA
rnacentral:tRNA from 1 species